GAUUGUGUUUCCUGAGACCUCCCAGCCACGCUUCCUGUACAGCCUGCAGAACUGUGCCACGGGUCGGAGACAGCACGGAAGGAGAGACAAGCCUUACAGAGACAACGUCCAGCGCCGGACAGGACGUGGGAGGAAGGAGCGCAGACGCGGUGCUGGUGGGAGAAGGAGACGGUACUAGCACGGUGGAAAACCUGUGGAAGUUACCCAGCGACGUUGACAUACGUGCUCUACGAUUCCGCCCAAUCAUGGGGAGCACAGCCCACAGAAAGGCCUGCACACUCCCUGAAAGAUGCUCACAGGGAUGUCACGGCUCUGCUCUUCCUCACGACGGAAAAGGGAAACGGCCGCAAUACCCGUCUAUGGUAAAAAAGAUCGAUAACUUGGAAACGGAGAAUGACGGCUGGACUGGGGUGAGGUCAAGAUGACACAGUGUUGUUGGGAUGACCCAGUCCACGGGAGAGAGUGGCUGAGAGUGGCUUAGUCCAUGGGAGAGAGUGGCCGAGAGCGGCUUCAUCUGCAGGCUCCUGGGAGCACUGGGCAGG
rnacentral:lncRNA from 10 species